AUUGAACGCUGGCGGCAGUCCUAACACAUGCAAGUCGAACGAGUGGCGGACGGGUGAGUGAUGUCUGGGAAAAUGCCUGAUGGAGGGGGAUAACUACUCGAAACGGUAGCUACUACCGCAUAACAUCAGAUGUGCCCAGAUGGGAUUAGCUUGGUGGUGGGGUAACGGCUCACCAAGGAGACGAUCCCUAGCUGGUCUGAGAGGAUGACCAGCAACACUGGAAGUGAGACACGGUCCAGACGCCUACGGGAGGCAGCAGUGGGGAAUAUUGCACAAUGGGCGCAAGCCUGAUGGAGCCAUGACGAGGGUAGGAAGAAGGCCUUCGGGUUGUAAAGUACUUUCAGCGGGGAGGCGUGACCCGCAGAAGAAGCACCGGCUAACUCCGUGCCAGCAGCCGCGGUAAUUC
rnacentral:rRNA from 1 species